GACACUUUCAUUAUCGGAACAUCAACAGCGUGUGUGCUUUGCCUUGCUGCCAUCAUAGUAGCAAUAUGCAUUGCAUACGGACGUCAUUGCGCCAAAAGGGAAGAAACUGAUGAUGAAGAAGUAGAAUGUCCAGUAGAACAACUAGAAGCACGUGACUACGAGCUUAUUGAUAUUGAUUCUGAUAGAUAUGAAACAGGCCCUGUGAUAGUUUUUCUUUAGUGGAGGCUCACUUCACACAAAACCUUGACAUCGUGAUUUUGUCACAAAUAAAAUCAUCAGCAACCACUGGACAAAGGUUUGUGCAUGGAUUGAUAAAGAGAAAGUGUGGAUGUACUAACCUACCACCAAUUCAACUGUAAGUAACAAUGUGGACUAUAUACGUGUCUUACUUAUAGUAGGGGACAUUUAACGUGUUUUGUAUAUCAGUGGAUGGCACAACAGUGUCGAUUGUUUCUCCUGCCCUGGACUUAAGAACUUGUUCUGUACUUGUAUCUAAUACAUAGCUUUAUCAAUAAACAUUCUGACUGUA